UAGGGAAUCUUCCACAGUGGACGAAAGUCUGAUGGAGCAACGCCGCGUGAGUGAAGAAGGGUUUCGGCUCGUAAAACUCUGUUGUUAAAGAAGAACAUAUCUGAGAGUAACUGUUCAGGUAUUGACGGUAUUUAACCAGAAAGCCACGGCUAACUACUUGCCA
rnacentral:rRNA from 1 species